rnacentral:tRNA from 3 species
AGCGGGGUGGAGCAGCCCGGUAGCUCGCAAGGCUCAUAACCUUGAGGUCCCAGGUUCGAAUCCUGGCCCCGCCACCA